UCUAGAGUAAAGUUCUGUAUGUGUGAGACUGAAGGAAGCUGGGAUGGAGGGUGGAUUGGCAAGCAUCUUGGGGAAUGCCAAGUACUCCUGGGUCCAGGCACCAAAUUAGAAAAUUGUGUUCCUGGAUGUCCAUUUUAUUGGGGAAAAGGUUCUAUUUUUCAUUAGAUUCUCAAGGAGGUUGAAACCCCAUAAAAUAACCAUUCUUCAGGCCUCUUCAUUCACUUCUCAGAUACACGCUCCAUUCUUAUGAUCUCUGGCAAUCUGGAGAGAUCAAGGAAAUACUUUUACAAGUAUUGGAUAGACAAGAACUUACCUAAAAAAGAUUUCUAUGCCUUUUAAAAUGAUCUUUUAUUGCUUUUUGUUUUUUGUUUUUGCAGUGUUAGGAAUGAAAUCCAAGGCCUUAUGUACACUGGAGAAGUGCUCUACCAGAGUUGCAUCCCAGCCUUAAUUCUUACUACAAAAACAGUGUGCCUUUUUAGGAAUACAAAGAAGAAGAGAAAGACCUAUCCCCUCCUCAGAGGUCACAUCUCUGUGCUAGAUGUCUAACAGAGUAGCUAUGCAAUAAAUGUAGCUUCUCCUUUGCCAAGGAAGUGGGAGAGCCUCCUGGGGAAAGGAAUUGACCCAAAACUAC
rnacentral:lncRNA from 1 species